CAGCCGUAAACUAUGCGCGUUAGGUGUAUCGGUGACCACGAGUCACCGAGGUGCCGAAGGGAAACCGUGAAACGUGCCGCCUGGGAAGUACGGUCGCAAGGCUGAAACUUAAAGGAAUUGGCGGGGAGCACCACAACGGGUGGAGCCUGCGGUUUAAUUGGACUCAACGCCGGACAACUCACCGGGGACGACAGCAAUAUGUAGGCCAGGCUGAAGACCUUGCCUGAAUCGCUGAGAGGAGGUGCAUGGCGUAGACGUCUU
rnacentral:rRNA from 1 species